rnacentral:lncRNA from 1 species
UAACAGAAGAGGUAGCCUCAUGCCAAGUCGCAUUGAGCUCAAUCCCCGAUGAGGUCCGUGUCAAGCUCGAGAGCAUACGAACCCUCCUCCAAGACGACAUCGGCUGGCUAGUGGAAGACGCUUCGCCGAUUCGGCAGCUUCUUAGUGAAAUAAGAGGCCGAGUUCCAGAAGAGGCAGAAGAGGCCCUAGCACCCGCUGCAUACAUUGAGUCAAUGCGGAUUCCAGUAUUCAGGGCCUUACGCCAUAUGGACGAUCAUGCCAAAUUAGCAAAAGCACGUGAAGAAGAGAACUCCUAUAAACACCGAGCUCAAGAAGUGCAUCAAAGAAUCAGCUUCCUUGAAAACUCCCAC